GAUGAAGAACGCAGCGAAAUGCGAUACGUAAUGUGAAUUGCAAAUUCAGUGAAUCAUCGAAUCUUUGAACGCACAUUGCGCCCCUUGGUAUUCCAUGGGGCAUGCCUGUUCGAGCGUCAUUUGUACCUUCAAGCUCUGCUUGGUGUUGGGUGUUUGUCUCGCCUCUGCGUGUAGACUCGCCUCAAAACAAUUGGCAGCCGGCGUAUUGAUUUCGGAGCGCAGUACAUCUCGCGCUUUGCACUCAUAACGACGACGUCCAAAAGUACAUUUUUACACUCUUGACCUCGGAUCAGGUAGGGAUACCCGCUGAACUUAAGCAUAUCAAUAAGCGGAGGA
rnacentral:misc_RNA from 1 species